UUGACCUCGGAUCAGGGAAGGAAUCCCCGA
rnacentral:rRNA from 1 species